GGGUUGUGAGGUUAAGCGACUAAGCGUACACGGUGGAUGCCCUGGCAGUCAGAGGCGAUGAAGGACGUGCUAAUCUGCGAUAAGCGCCGGUAAGGUGAUAUGAACCGUUAUAACCGGCGAUUUCCGAAUGGGGAAACCCAGUGUGAUUCGUCACACUAUCAUUAACUGAAUCCAUAGGUUAAUGAGGCGAACCGGGGGAACUGAAACAUCUAAGUACCCCGAGGAAAAGAAAUCAACCGAGAUUCCCCCAGUAGCGGCGAGCGAACGGGGAGGAGCCCAGAGCCUGAAUCAGCAUGUGUGUUAGUGGAAGCGUCUGGAAAGGCGCGCGAUACAGGGUGACAGCCCCGUACACAAAAGCGCAUGUGCUGUGAGCUCGAUGAGUAGGGCGGGACACGUGGUAUCCUGUCUGAAUAUGGGGGGACCAUCCUCCAAGGCUAAAUACUCCUGACUGACCGAUAGUGAACCAGUACCGUGAGGGAAAGGCGAAAAGAACCCCGGCGAGGGGAGUGAAAAAGAACCUGAAACCGUGUACGUACAAGCAGUGGGAGCACAGGUUUACCUGUGUGACUGCGUACCUUUUGUAUAAUGGGUCAGCGACUUAUAUUCUGUAGCAAGGUUAACCGUAUAGGGGAGCCGGAGGGAAACCGAGUCUUAAUUGGGCGUUAAGUUGCAGGGUAUAGACCCGAAACCCGGUGAUCUAGCCAUGGGCAGGUUGAAGGUUGGGUAACACUAACUGGAGGACCGAACCGACUAAUGUUGAAAAAUUAGCGGAUGACCUGUGGCUGGGGGUGAAAGGCCAAUCAAACCGGGAGAUAGCUGGUUCUCCCCGAAAGCUAUUUAGGUAGCGCCUCGUGAAUUCAUCUCCGGGGGUAGAGCACUGUUUCGGCUAGGGGGCCAUCCCGGCUUACCAACCCGAUGCAAACUGCGAAUACCGGAGAAUGUUAUCACGGGAGACACACGGCGGGUGCUAACGUCCGUCGUGAAGAGGGAAACAACCCAGACCGCCAGCUAAGGUCCCAAAGUCAUGGUUAAGUGGGAAACGAUGUGGGAAGGCCCAGACAGCCAGGAUGUUGGCUUAGAAGCAGCCAUCAUUUAAAGAAAGCGUAAUAGCUCACUGGUCGAGUCGGCCUGCGCGGAAGAUGUAACGGGGCUAAACCAUGCACCGAAGCUGCGGCAGCGACGCUUAUGCGUUGUUGGGUAGGGGAGCG
rnacentral:rRNA from 1 species